rnacentral:rRNA from 1 species
GGCUACAGAACGAACGCUGGCGGCGCGUCUUAAGCACGCAAGUCGAACGGCAAGAGGUAGCAAUACCUCCUAGAGUGGCGGACUGGUGAGUAACACGUGGGUGACACACCCUUCAGAUGGGGAUAGCUAUUAGAAAUAGUAGAUAAUACCGAAUACGAGCACAGGGGUUAGAGAUCUGUGAGGAAAGGAGCUAAGGCUCCGCUGAAGGAAUGGCCUGCGGCCCAUUAGCUAGUUGGUGAGGUAAGAGCCCACCAAGGCGAUGAUGGGUAUCCGGCCUUAGAGGGUGAACGGACACAUUGGGACUGAGAUACGGCCCAGACUCCUACGGGAGGCAGCAGCUAAGAAUAUUCCGCAAUGGACGAAAGUCUGACGGAGCGACGCCGCGUGGAUGAAGAAGGCCGGAAGGUUGUAAAAAUCCUUUUGAAACUGAAGAAUAAGCGUUGUAGGGAAUGACAGCGUGGUGACAGUAGGUUUUGAAUAAGCAACGGCUAAUUACGUGCCAGCCGCUGC